AUGGAAACUGAAUUGUUUGUGUGGUCGUCCUGUAAAUAUCACCACGCGAAAAACAUGUUGUAUUUUUUUAUUUUUUUGGGAUAACAACCCAGAUAUUUAUGACAUGCGGGUAUAGAUUAGAGGUAUCAGGUAUGGAUAAAGAUUGGGCUUUUUCGCUGUAUCAAACAUUUAACAAUUCAUAAGCACUGUUUCCUCGUGUACGAACAGAGACUGCUUCUGAAAUCUCCUUAACAAACAAGCGGGAGACCACAACCGUCGUCCUUUCCUCUCCGUGUCUCGGCGUCUCCUUAGAGAAAAAGUUUGCAGGCUCAGAAAGAUCGCAGUCAUCUGGGUGCUACUUACAUAUGAGCUUUGCUUCCAAUAAAAUGUGUCCCAAUUCAAAUGGCAACGAUCUGUACAAAACCAGGGAAUGAAAACUCAGGUCACUGAUUCAAAUGCAACGAUCUGUACACUGCUAUAUAUGCCUUCUUGCUUUUGCACCAAGUACAAAACCAGGGAAUGAAAACUCAGGUCACACUUAACUUACAUUUCACAUUAUAAUGUGCUUACAUAUGAUUUUAUUGUAUGGAGACUGCUUUAAUUCAAAAAACCAUUCCUAAAUAGUACAUAAUAAAUACACAAGGAGUGACACGCCAAUCAACUAUCGUCCAUCACCAUAAGGCAUUAACAUUUGUAUUUGCAUGCUGUCAUACCCUGUACCAGUAGUUAAACCACUAGAACUACCACCACCUCCUCUAACAUCCAAAACAUAAGCAUCUGAAUCAAGUGACCCAAGCAAGUACUCAUUUUCUUCUGGACAGAAACAAACAUUAGUUCCGCAUGGGUGCUUUGCUGUAAUCCUCAUUCCCUCUAGCUCCAUUGCUACUUCUUUCAUGGUAGGCCUUUCCU
rnacentral:lncRNA from 1 species